CUGAUUGAUCGUGUCAGUUAUAUAUGCUCAUCUUAAAGACUGAUCCAUGCAAAUCUAAGUAUAUUGAAUACAACAUUAUUGAAACGGUAGAUAGCUCAUUAAAACAGUAUCAUAGGAAACAGAAUCCUACAUGAAGCUGCGGCUGAUUGUAAAUGUAUAUCAAAUCGAAUUGAUUUGUUAACACAUGUGUAACGUAGUCCAAAAAAAGGCUGAGAGCUUUUGAGGAUGAAUUUAUAGAGAAGAGGUUAUUGACAAGACUCUAUCUCAUACUUUGAAGAGCUAUAAAUGAGCUGAUCUUUAGGCUGCGGUCUUUAGACACUCUGUACUUGUGACUGAUCUAUCAACUUUGUUUGUAGUGCCUUUGACUAAAAAGGUUCUAACGGAUGACGAGAGAUUAGGGUUUGAUUUCGGAGAGGAGGCCUGAGACACUGCCUCCACUUCCAAGGAAGGCAGCAGGAGCGAAAAUUUCCCACUGACACACUGUCGAGGAAGUGACGAGAAUUAACAGAACUGGGUCAUUAUAUGAACAGUAUCUGUGAUGAGAACAAUUUAAAACCAUUAACUAGUAGCCAUGAGAGGGCAAGUCUGGUGCCAGCAGCCGCGGUAAUUCCAGCUCUUAGAGUGUAUAUGAAUGUUGUUGUAGUUAAAAAGCACAUAGCUGAUAAUGAUUGUAUCAGCAACGAUGUAGUCACUUGUGGCUGCAUGAGAGGCUGGUCCCUGAAGCCCUAGUAGAUUGUAGGCGGUCUGGGAAACUAGAUGCGCACCUCUGAGUCCUGCACGGCUCGGAGUCCUGCUAGAAGCGAUUAACUUUGAACAAAUUAGAGUGUUUAAAACAAGCUUUAUAAGCUUUGAAUAUAUUAGCAUAGUAUUACAGAACAUGAUUGACUCGUCCGAAAGCCUUGUAAAUGUGAACUUUGAGGCGGGUCAUAUAAUGAGAGAUAGAAAUUGAUGGGGCGAUCUUUAUUUGUUGGGGAGGGGUGAAAUCCUAUGAUCCAGCGAAGAAACACUAAUGCGAAAGCACCUCGCUAAGAUGUUUUUAUUAGUCAAGUACGAAAGUUAAGGGCGCGAAGAUGAUUAGAUACCAUCGUAGUCUUAACGGUAAACAAUGUUGAUUUAGGAUGUGAGAUCAUUUAUUAUGACUUCUCACGGAUUAUACGAGAAAUCUAGAAUAUUCGAACUCUAGGGGUAGUAUAGUCGCAAGACCGAAACUUAAACGAAUUGACGGAAGAGCACCACCAGGCGUGGAACCUGCGGCUUAAUUUGACCCAACGCGGGAAACCUUACCAGGACAGGACAUUAAAAGGAUUGACAGAUUGAUAGCUCUUUCAUGAUAUAAUGAAAGGUGGUGCAUGGCCGUUUUUAGUUGGUGGUUUGAAUUGUCUGGUUAAUUCCGAUAACGUAACAAGACCUUUUCCUGCUUUUUAGCAUUAGAUUAGAGUCGACAUUAAUGGGU
rnacentral:rRNA from 1 species